rnacentral:rRNA from 1 species
AGAGUUUGAUCCUGGCUCAGGACGAACGCUGGCGGUGUGCUUCACACAUGCAAGUCGAGCGAAUGAAGAAGGUAGCUUGCUACUUUUGGAUUUAGCGGCGGACGGGUGAGUAAUAUAUAGGAAUCUGCCCUAGAGCGGGGAACAACAGACCGAAAGGUUUGCUAAUGCCCCAUAGGUACGCAGUCUUCGGAUUGUUUAUUAAAGGAGUAAUCCACUCUAGGAUGAGCCUGUAUCCGAUUAGCUAGUUGGCGGGGUAAAGGCCCACCAAGGCUACGAUCGGUAGUUGGUCUGAGAGGAUGAUCAGCCACAAUGGGACUGAGACACGGCCCAUACUCCUACGGGAGGCAGCAGUGGGGAAUUUUACACAAUGGGGGAAACCCUGAUGUAGCGACACCGCGUGAACGAAGAAGCCUUUUGGGGUGUAAAGUUCUGUCGGCUGGAACGAAAAAAAUGACGGUACCAGCAAAGGAAGCAUCGGCUAACUACGUGCCUGCAGCCGCGGUAAGACGUAGGAUGCAAGCGUUGUCCGGAUUUAUUGGGCGUAAAGAGUUCGUAGGCGGUUAUUUAAGUCUGGUGUUAAAUACUGUGGCCCAACCACAGAACUGCAUUGGAUACUGGAUGACUUGAGUGCGGUAGAGGCGAGUGGAAUUCCCAGUGUAGCGGUGAAAUGCGUA